CCUAGUAACUGGCAUCUAUAGCAAACCACUGGGUGGUUUCUGCUGUGUGUGCUCCUGCAUGCCCUGCUCUUAGGACAACGUGCAUUUCCACAUCUUCUGGAGCGUUUUUAGAUUGCAUCAGUGAUAGUCCCUGCCAGGUGUAUCUCUUCAUUGUCUGCGACUCUCCCCCCCUGUUUGAGGUAUUAGCUGUCAACAGAACAUCAGGUGAAGUGUUAAUUUGUGAAAACCCUUAAGUAGAUAUUACUUAGAUUGGGACUUUCACGUCCAGAAGGAGUGGAAAGACUCUAAACAAAAGAAUUGAGAAGAUUCUCGGAAGGAUUAGCGUUAAAAAAAAAUGCCUGGAUAGGUUUUUAUUGUUUUGUUCCUAUCUUUGCCUGGGAAAAAGGGUGCAUGGUAUCUUUUCAAGUGGUCUAAAUGGAUAAUAUUGUACUUUAUUAAGAUUGAAGCUGUUAAUAUUUUGCAGUCUUAGCAUACACUCUGUCCAGUUUUCCAACAGGAAUCAAAGGUCCAUCUGAUGCAUAUGUGAGAUGUAUCUCAUUAAUAACAUUGACUCAGUAUUAUUAAUAAUUCUGUGGAUGCUUGUCUCUCCUGUGGGCUCAGUAGUGUCUGUAUGCUUGUGAGAUGCACUCACAGGGUAAUCUAACUGUGCUGGAUAGCUGACUUGGUUUUCUGGGUACUAAUUACAGCUUGUUGUCAGCUCACAUCAUGUGUGGGCUUGGCAGACAUCAGCCCCAAGCACCUAGAAGGCACUUCCUUCUCCAGGCUAACUUCGGGGAAACAAGGACUCUGUCGCAACUAGCUAGGCUUGGAACAACCUGUCUUCUCUCUGCAUUGCAAAUAUGUAAAGACCAACUGGCCCGGGCAAGUUUCUUCUGUUCCUGGAUUGGUUUUGCUUUCCUUUCCCUCUUUUCAGACUAUCUCUAAAUUUAGCAACGUGACACAGUACAACCAAGGCUUUCACAUGCAUGGCGUCACCAGGAGGAUUGCAGGAUGUCUAAUUGGUCUGCCUUGGCAAAUCUGAUGCAAUCUCCCUUGGGUUUGGACUUGGGGAUCUGGGUGGGAUGUGAGAGCACAGCCAAGCCUGCCAAGGCUGUCUCCUCCAUGGCAAGGAUUGCUACUGGAUGUGGGUCUGAGACCAGAUUCGGGUCAAGUAAAAAUGGAAAUCUCCAAAUGAGAGUUCUGGGAGUCAAAGGGAACCAGAUCUACUCUGCUACAUCUGAGUGGGGCCCCAGAGAUACCAAGGGCCAAACUGAAGGGCCAAAGACAGAAAACUCCCUUUGCUUGUCUGAUGUGCUAUUUUUUUGUGGGAGCGUGUCAAAGAAGUAGAGAGAAGACCCAUGAUUCAUUGGCAGACUGUGUCCCCAAGCCUCUGUUCUAUACUUCCCUCCCACCCCACGGCAGUGCUGGCUCCAAACGAGCGUGAAAUUCUCCCUAGUUUAGAAUUUUUUUAAAAAAAGGAGAAUUUGGAAGAACUAGGAUUAGGUAGAAUACUUGUGCUUCUGUUUUAACAACAUUUCUGUGUUUUUGCUUAUUUUCCAAAGUUUUUAAUCACUUAAGUAAUGGAGAAUUAACUGGGGUUGUUUGCUAUGCAUAAAGCACACCACAAUAUUUUUCCUAUUUAUUUUUUCUGAUUAUCAAUAGAUAUUUACUAAAAAAAAUAAUCAUACCUAAUGCUACAGGGAUAUGUGGCUGUAAACAGGACAGAUCUGUUCUCAUAACCAGUAGGGUAACUUUUGAUAUAAACUCAUUUCUUAUGGACUGAGAAAAUGAUUUGGUUGUUAAGAGCCUUAGUGCUCUCACAGAGAACCCAGAUUCAACCUCUAGGACCCAUGGUCAUGGCUGCUAACCAACUAUAAUGCCAGUUCUGGGGGACUCAGCAUCCACUUCUGGCUUCUGAGGUUACUGAAUAUACAUGGUGCCUAGAACAUGCAUACAUUCAUGCAGGCAAAUCUCCCACAGACAUGCAUACAUACAUGCAGGCAAAUCUCCCAUACACAUUAAAAAAUGUAAAAAAAAACCCCUUCAUCUCUAUCUAUCUAUCUAUCUAUCUAUCUAUCUAUCUAUCUAUCUAUCUAUCUAUCAUCUAUCUAUAUCUAUCUCUAUCUGUCAUCUGUCUAUAUCUAUAAAUAAAACUUUUCAAAUUUAAUUUUCUAAGAUUAAACUUUCUAAAAGUAUAAAUUAUACACAGAAUAAAGACAAAGAACACAAUUAACACACUUGAGUUGAAAACCUAAGAUAUUUUGCUCUGAUCUCCUGGCCCCCAGCUCUGGUUUUUUCAACUCUUUAUAAAUCCCGUAGAAGUGUGCUUGUACUUGUGAUCUGGACAUUUUCUUUUACACAAUUGAAAUUAUACUAUGUAGUCAUAUAUCUCGGUUUUCACAGUGGUUCAGUUAAUUUUGUUUUCAGUUAACACUGAAGAAUGCUGAACUUGAACAUAGGCUAAUCCACUCCUGGAGGGCUGAAACCAUAUAGCUACUGCUCACGUUGCGGUGGGAACUUU